rnacentral:rRNA from 1 species
AAUAAAAAUACCUUUGGUUGGGGCAACCACGAAGAAAAAAAAACCUUCGUUCUAAAAAGAAAUAAACAAAUUUAAAAUUUAAAAUAAAGAAAGAUCCAGUAAUCUGAUCAAAGAAAUAAGUUACCGCAGGGAUAACAGCGUUAUUCUCUUUAAGAGUUCAUAUUGACAAGAGAGUUUGCGACCUCGAUGUUGGACCGGGACACCCAAGAGGUGCAACAGCCUCUAAAGGUUGGUCUGUUCGACCAAUAAAGUCCUACGCGAUCUGAGUUCAGACCGACGCAAGUCAGGUCAGUUUCUAUCUA